CCUACGGGUGGCUGCAGUGGGGAAUAUUGGACAAUGGGGGGAACCCUGAUCCAGCCAUGCCGCGUGUGUGGAGAAGGCCCUCGGGUUGUAAAGCACUUUCAGUGAGGAAGAACGCCUGGUGGUUAAUACCCAUCAGGAAAGACAUCACUCACAGAAGAAGCACCGGCUAACUCCGUGCCAGCAGCCGCGGUAAUACGGAGGGUGCGAGCGUUAAUCGGAAUUACUGGGCGUAAAGCGCGCGUAGGUGGCUUGAUAAGCCGGUUGUGAAAGCCCCGGGCUCAACCUGGGAACGGCAUCCGGAACUGUCAAGCUAGAGUGCAGGAGAGGAAGGUAGAAUUCCCGGUGUAGCGGUGAAAUGCGUAGAGAUCGGGAGGAAUACCAGUGGCGAAGGCGGCCUUCUGGACUGACACUGACACUGAGGUGCGAAAGCGUGGGUAGCAAACAGGAUUAGAUACCCUAGUAGUC
rnacentral:rRNA from 1 species